rnacentral:rRNA from 1 species
AAACCUACGGGGGCAGCAGUGAGGAAUAUUGGUCAAUGGUCGGGAGACUGAACCAGCCAAGCCGCGUGAACGAGGAAGGUCUUCGGAUCGUAAAGUUCUGUUGAAGGGGAAAAAGAGCGGAGAGAGGAAAUGCUUUCUGAUUGAUAUUACCCUUCGAGGAAGUCACGGCUAACUACGUGCCAGCAGCCGCGGUAAUACGUAGGUGGCGAGCGUUAUCCGGAAUGAUUGGGCGUAAAGGGUGCGUAGGCGGCCUGCUAAGUCUGGAGUGAAAGGUACCGGCUCAACCGGUACAGGCUCUGGAAACU